rnacentral:lncRNA from 1 species
GCACAACCACGUUUUUUAGUCAUCGUUUCAAUUAUAAUAUUUGUUUUGUUUCCACUUCCAAAAGUUUUGUAGCGUAAAUACUUUUUGAUUGCACAUAAUGUAACUGAGGUAGAACAUUUAAUUCAUUUGCAUUUUGAAAUUUCUUAAAAGGAUUACACAAAGACAAACUAUACUAUUGUCCGUUGCAUACAAAAAACUAAAAAAAAAAAAAAUCUGUAUCGAUUCCUUGAGAUGCUGAAAAAAACUAGUUGAAGUGCUUCUGAUAUCAUUUUAAAUUUGCCCACUCAGUCUAAGAUAUAUCUAC